GAUGAACGCUGGCGGCGUGCUUAACACAUGCAAGUCGAACGAAGCAUUUAGGACAGAUUACUUCGGUUUGAAGUUCUUUAUGACUGAGUGGCGGACGGGUGAGUAACGCGUGGGUAACCUGCCUUGUACUGGGGGAUAGCAGCUGGAAACGGCUGGUAAUACCGCAUAAGCUCACAAUGUUGCAUGACAUGGUGUGAAAAACUCCGGUGGUAUAAGAUGUACCCGCGUCUGAUUAGCUAGUUGGUGAGAUAACAGCCCACCAAGGCGACGAUCAGUAGCCGACCUGGGAGGGUGACCGGCCACAUUGGGACUGAGACACGGCCCAGACUCCUACGGGAGGCAGCAGUGGGGAAUAUUGCACAAUGGAGGAAACUCUGAUGCAGCGACGCCGCGUGAGUGAAGAAGUAAUUCGUUAUGUAAAGCUCUAUCAGCAGGGAAGAUAGUGACGGUACCUGACUAAGAAGCGCCGGCUAAAUACGUG
rnacentral:rRNA from 1 species